rnacentral:rRNA from 1 species
CGGAAGAACUAAGCCAUGCGAGUCAUUGUAGCAAUACAAGGCAGACGGCUCAGUAACGCGUAGUCAAUCUACCCUAUGGACGGGAAUAACCUCGGGAAACUGAGAAUAAUGCCCGAUAGAACAUUAUACCUGGAACGGUUUAUGUUUCAAAUGAUUUAUCGCCGUAGGAUGGGACUGCGGCCUAUCAGUUUGUUGGUGAGGUAAUGGCCCACCAAGACUAUUACAGGUACGGGCUCUGAGAGGAGUAGCCCGGAGAUGGGUACUGAGACACGGACCCAGGCCCUAUGGGGCGCAGCAGGCGAGAAAACUUUGCAAUGUGCGAAAGCACGACAAGGUUAAUCCGAGUGGUUUCUGCUAAAGAAACCUUUUGCUAGUCCUAGAAACACUAGUGAAUAAGGGGUGGGCAAGUUCUGGUGUCAGCCGCCGCGGUAAAACCAGCACCUCAAGUGGUCAGGAUGAUUAUUGGGCCUAAAGCAUCCGUAGCUCGUUUUGUAAGUUUUCGGUUAAAUCCAUAUGCUCAACGUAUGGGCUGCCGGGAAUACUGCAUAACUAGGAAGUGGGAGAGGUAGACGGUACUCGGUAGGAAGGGGUAAAAUCCUUUGAUCUAUUGAUGACCACCUGUGGCGAAGGCGGUCUACCAGAACACGUUCGACGGUGAGGGAUGAAAGCUGGGGGAGCAAACCGGAUUAGAUACCCGGGUAGUCCCAGCUGUAAACUAUGCAAACUCAGUGAUGCAUUGGCUUGUGGCCAAUGCAGUGCUGCAGGGAAGCCGUUAAGUUUGCCGCCUGGGAAGUACGUACGCAAGUAUGAAACUUAAAGGAAUUGGCGGGGGAGCACCACAAGGGUGAAGCCUGCGGUUCAAUUGGAGUCAACGCCGGAAUC